AACACGGCGGGCGCUCAAUAAAUGCUUGUCGAAUCGAGAUGCGCUAGAUUCAACGGGUAUUUACUGAGCGCCCGCUCUGUG
rnacentral:miRNA from 1 species